GUUCACCGGAGGUACAGUGCAAGGCUCUUAACCUUGUGGUCGUGGGUUCGAGCCCCACGGUGGGCG
rnacentral:tRNA from 1 species